rnacentral:tRNA from 1 species
GGGGCCGUAGUCUAGCCUGGCUAGGAUAUGCAAGCACUGCACCUAAAGCUCGGCUUGGGUAGCCACCGCAGGCUACAGCAAAAAGGCCUGUGGGCUUGGGAGCCCGAGUGAUCCCGGGUUCAAAUCCCGGCGGCCCCACCA